rnacentral:rRNA from 1 species
AAAGAAGCUUGCUUCUUUGCUGACGAGCGGCGGACGGGUGAGUAAUGCUUAGGAAGUUGCCCGGUAGAGGGGGAUAACCAUUGGAAACGAUGGCUAAUACCGCAUACCCUCUUCGGAGUAAAGCAGGGGACCUUAUGGCCUUGCGCUAUCGGAUACGCCUAAGUGAGAUUAGCUAGUUGGUGAGGUAAAGGCUCACCAAGGCGACGAUCUCUAGCUGGUCUGAGAGGAUGAUCAGCCACACUGGAACUGAGACACGGUCCAGACUCCUACGGGAGGCAGCAGUGGGGAAUAUUGCACAAUGGGGGAAACCCUGAUGCAGCCAUGCCGCGUGUAUGAAGAAGGCCUUCGGGUUGUAAAGUACUUUCAGCAGUGAGGAAGGGUGAUAAAUUAAUACUUUAUCAUUUUGACGUUAGCUGCAGAAGAAGCACCGGCUAACUCCGUGCCAGCAGCCGCGGUAAUACGGAGGGUGCGAGCGUUAAUCGGAAUUACUGGGCGUAAAGCGCAUGCAGGUGGUCUGUUAAGUCAGAUGUGAAAGCCCGGGGCUCAACCUCGGAAUUGCAUUUGAAACUGGCAGACUAGAGUACUGUAGAGGGGGGUAGAAUUUC